UCAAGUGAAUAAGUGCAUCAGGCGGAUGCCUUGGCGAUGAUAGGCGACGAAGGACGUGUAAGCCUGCGAAAAGCGCGGGGGAGCUGGCAAUAAAGCUAUGAUUCCGCGAUGUCCGAAUGGGGAAACCCACUGCAUUCUGUGCAGUAUCCUAAGUUGAAUACAUAGGCUUAGAGAAGCGAACCCGGAGAACUGAACCAUCUAAGUACCCGGAGGAAAAGAAAUCAACCGAGAUUCCGCAAGUAGUGGCGAGCGAACGCGGAGGAGCCUGUACGUAAUAACUGUCGAGAUAGAAGAACAAGCUGGGAAGCUUGACCAUAGCGGGUGACAGUCCCGUAUUCGAAAUCUCAACAGCGGUACUAAGCGUACGAAAAGUAGGGCGGGACACGUGAAAUCCUGUCUGAAUAUGGGGGGACCAUCCUCCAAGGCUAAAUACUCAUCAUCGACCGAUAGUGAACCAGUACCGUGAGGGAAAGGCGAAAAGAACCCCGGGAGGGGAGUGAAACAGAACCUGAAACCUGAUGCAUACAAACAGUGGGAGCGCCCUAGUGGUGUGACUGCGUACCUUUUGUAUAAUGGGUCAACGACUUACAUUCAGUAGCGAGCUUAACCGGAUAGGGGAGGCGUAGGGAAACCGAGUCUUAAUAGGGCGAUGAGUUGCUGGGUGUAGACCCGAAACCGAGUGAUCUAUCCAUGGCCAGGUUGAAGGUGCCGUAACAGGUACUGGAGGACCGAACCCACGCAUGUUGCAAAAUGCGGGGAUGAGCUGUGGGUAGGGGUGAAAGGCUAAACAAACUCGGAGAUAGCUGGUUCUCCCCGAAAACUAUUUAGGUAGUGCCUCGAGCAAGACACUGAUGGGGGUAAAGCACUGUUAUGGCUAGGGGGUUAUUGCAACUUACCAACCCAUGGCAAACUCAGAAUACCAUCAAGUGGUUCCUCGGGAGACAGACAGCGGGUGCUAACGUCCGUUGUCAAGAGGGAAACAACCCAGACCGCCGGCUAAGGUCCCAAAUGAUAGAUUAAGUGGUAAACGAAGUGGGAAGGCACAGACAGCCAGGAUGUUGGCUUAGAAGCAGCCAUCAUUUAAAGAAAGCGUAAUAGCUCACUGGUCGAGUCGUCCUGCGCGGAAGAUGUAACGGGGCUCAAAUCUAUAACCGAAGCUGCGGAUGCCGGUUUACCGGCAUGGUAGGGGAGCGUUCUGUAGGCUGAUGAAGGUGCAUUGUAAAGUGUGCUGGAGGUAUCAGAAGUGCGAAUGUUGACAUGAGUAGCGAUAAAGCGGGUGAAAAGCCCGCUCGCCGAAAGCCCAAGGUUUCCUACGCAACGUUCAUCGGCGUAGGGUGAGUCGGCCCCUAAGGCGAGGCAGAAAUGCGUAGUCGAUGGGAAACAGGUUAAUAUUCCUGUACUUGAUUCAAAUGCGAUGUGGGGACGGAGAAGGUUAGGUUGGCAAGCUGUUGGAAUAGCUUGUUUAAGCCGGUAGGUGGAAGACUUAGGCAAAUCCGGGUUUUCUUAACACCGAGAAGUGAUGACGAGUGUCUACGGACACGAAGCAACCGAUACCACGCUUCCAGGAAAAGCCACUAAGCUUCAGUUUGAAUCGAACCGUACCGCAAACCGACACAGGUGGGCAGGAUGAGAAUUCUAAGGCGCUUGAGAGAACUCGGGAGAAGGAACUCGGCAAAUUGAUACCGUAACUUCGGGAGAAGGUAUGCCCUCUAAGGUUAAGGACUUGCUCCGUAAGCCCCGGAGGGUCGCAGAGAAUAGGUGGCUGCGACUGUUUAUUAAAAACACAGCACUCUGCCAACACGAAAGUGGACGUAUAGGGUGUGACGCCUGCCCGGUGCCGGAAGGUUAAUUGAAGAUGUGCAAGCAUCGGAUCGAAGCCCCGGUAAACGGCGGCCGUAACUAUAACGGUCCUAAGGUAGCGAAAUUCCUUGUCGGGUAAGUUCCGACCCGCACGAAUGGCGUAACGAUGGCCACACUGUCUCCUCCCGAGACUCAGCGAAGUUGAAGUGGUUGUGAAGAUGCAAUCUACCCGCUGCUAGACGGAAAGACCCCGUGAACCUUUACUGUAGCUUUGCAUUGGACUUUGAAGUCACUUGUGUAGGAUAGGUGGGAGGCUUGGAAGCAGAGACGCCAGUCUCUGUGGAGUCGUCCUUGAAAUACCACCCUGGUGUCUUUGAGGUUCUAACCCAGACCCGUCAUCCGGGUCGGGGACCGUGCAUGGUAGGCAGUUUGACUGGGGCGGUCUCCUCCCAAAGCGUAACGGAGGAGUUCGAAGGUUACCUAGGUCCGGUCGGAAAUCGGACUGAUAGUGCAAUGGCAAAAGGUAGCUUAACUGCGAGACCGACAAGUCGGGCAGGUGCGAAAGCAGGACAUAGUGAUCCGGUGGUUCUGUAUGGAAGGGCCAUCGCUCAACGGAUAAAAGGUACUCCGGGGAUAACAGGCUGAUUCCGCCCAAGAGUUCAUAUCGACGGCGGAGUUUGGCACCUCGAUGUCGGCUCAUCACAUCCUGGGGCUGUAGUCGGUCCCAAGGGUAUGGCUGUUCGCCAUUUAAAGUGGUACGUGAGCUGGGUUUAAAACGUCGUGAGACAGUUUGGUCCCUAUCUGCAGUGGGCGUUGGAAGUUUGACGGGGGCUGCUCCUAGUACGAGAGGACCGGAGUGGACGAACCUCUGGUGUACCGGUUGUAACGCCAGUUGCAUAGCCGGGUAGCUAAGUUCGGAAGAGAUAAGCGCUGAAAGCAUCUAAGCGCGAAACUCGCCUGAAGAUGAGACUUCCCUUGCGGUUUAACCGCACUAAAGGGUCGUUCGAGACCAGGACGUUGAUAGGUGGGGUGUGGAAGCGCGGUAACGCGUGAAGCUAACCCAUACUAAUUGCCCGUGAGGCUUGACUC
rnacentral:rRNA from 1 species